AAGCAUUUGUGCACAAAAUACGUGAUAACUUAGGCCCUGUCCACACUUAGCCGGGGAUCUGCCAAAACGUAGAUAUUUUUCUACGUUUUGGCCUGUCAUCCACACGAAAACGGAGUUUUUUCACACGAAAACGGAUCUUUUUAAAAACUCCGGCCAAAGUGAAGAUCUGUGUUUUCUCCGUUUUGGGUGUCUGCGUGUGGACAGACAAAACCGGAGUUUUAAGGUCCGCAACGUCACUUUCCACGACAAAAAAAUGCUGACAUCACGUGUGCGACCUGUGUUUACACUAGCCGACAGCAUGGAAGCCCUCAGAGCUGCGCUCGCUUUAUCAAUUGUCCAAGCGCUUUUUGCUUGUUUGUUUUUGCAAGCGGAAUUACUGCUCCUUGCGGAACACCACAGACGAAGGACGAGGUUAAGAACGGGGGAAGUACUGACGCCUACAGGUCUGGCAUGUCCUUAACAACGUAUUUAUCUGGGUACGUGUGGACAGAGUUUUUUUUUUUUAAACGAGGUGGUGUGGAUGCAAGUUUUUGGAGGGGCGGAUAUUCAUUUUAGAAAAACCCGGCUACAUGUGGACUAGGCCUUAAUGUGAAUGUUGUGUUUUUGACCUACUCUGGAUUAGUGAACUUUGAUGCAGCAGCAGCGGUGACGUUCACACGUCCUCUCCUGUUACUACAUCAGCUAACUAAUCAACUAACACUGCCUAUCAUGUUAGCAUCACUUGCCUUUGUCACGGCCACCUGCCUGGCCUCCAGCAACUCCAGGAGCCAGGACCAUCCAGCACCACUGAGCGCCCCUCCUCCUCUCCAGGCUGCUGAUGAGCCCAGCUGAGCUCAACCCCACUGAUGAACAACACCUGGGAGAAAAGGCUGUGCCAUCCAGCAGUCCAGGGGUGCUGCUGUUCUCUAGGCCUCACCGGCUGUUCUAACCCCGUUGUUUUGUAGCAUGUUGAUUCAAAAAGGGCAAUUUUGUGGGCUGAUCCUGGAGGAUCUUUGGUAUGAUUGUCUGUUGGUCUCUGUUGAGGGUCUGCCCUUAUGAGGAAAUUACUAUGCAGUGAUUUUCUCCAAAAAGACUGUGCUUAAAUUGCUCUGAAAAAGCAAAUAAUCACAUCAGCGCCAAGAAACUUUAUUUCCCAUGAUGCUUUGCAUAGGGAAGCAAGGUGAUGACGUCACCACAACAACCAGCUCAAAAACUAUAAGUUUCAGCGAAAAACGAAACUUAACUGUUCCUUGUCCAGUAUCACUGGCUGUAAAAGGACGCUCAUUGCUGCUGCUCUGAUCAACGUGAGCAGAUCAAACACCGAACGCUGAAAAGCUGGGUUGGAAACCCAGCAAGCAAAUCUACUUUUUCUGCAUUCCUCCAGCUGAGGUGAAGGAAACAGUCGCUGACUGAUAAACUCCAACUCCAUCAGGACCUGACUGGGAACGAGCGGAGCCCAUCCCGCUCUCAGAGACGCUAUUCCCAAAUAUACAACGUUCCCUAACCCACACACAGAAGUGACCUGCUGAGCUGCAGAUGUGAUGCAGAAGCAGGUGGAACACAGAUGAAGACUAAGGAGUCUCAGUCACGUGGACUCCUCAUUUAUCAGCCUUCAGGGAGUGAAGACAUGAGGACAGAGUAUGGACGGUUCGUUGUGGAGGGUUGCUCUUCUACUGAUCUCACAUUUGUGUCUCAGUGAUGAGACCUGAUCAAUCAGACAUCCGACUGAGAACAUGAUUACUACCGUACCAUUUAAGGGUGGAUGGCAUAAUCAAACCGUGGGGAUUUGUGAUCUUGCAAGUGCAGCGAGGAGCACAGCGACCGUUCUGCGCCAAAGGCUCACCUUCCACUGCCAUCCCACGCCGCCUGAGGCUUCCAGUGUGAAAAAGUGGUGAGGAAAGAUACCCGAGGGGAGGGGUGAGUGUUCCCUUACUGUGCUUGCAUUCAAAACCUAGCUUGUUCUGUAUAUUUGCUACAACAGCUUUAAUGGUUACUUUCAGUGGAAACAAAUUUCUGCAGAACCUCCAGUAAGAUUUUCACAAUGUUUCUGCCAGAAUAACCACUCAUUACAAAAUUGGUGACCAUAUAAGUGUUUAUGAAAUAGUCUUUGCAAUAAAACCCAUAAGUCUGCCAGUUUGUGAUCAGAUGGGUGGACAGAGAUGAUUCAUCACUUUUGUGAUUCCUGACCUGAAGCCUGUAGGUGACUUUAAGAGGAUGGAAUUAGUGUUCUUGAGAAGCCUGUUUUUGUUAUCCUGCAGCCAAAAGGGGAUGGGAAAUGAGGUCAUAAUGAGACAAGAGCGCAGCAUGGGGAAAAUAAUUUUAAUUUUCUCAGAAUAUGAAGAAGAUGGAGACGAGCAACAGUGUUUGAUAAAGACCUGAGUAUCAAGUCAUGAACUGAAAGGCGAGUGAUAGAUUAGCUGGAGGAAAAGGCGGAGGUUAAUGUGAGUUAGCAGGACCUUUCCUCUCUGCUGGGGGGAUGAGAGGCAGCACACGAAUGAUGUCAGGGCAGGGAUUGUGUGAUGACAGUGGGUGGUUCUGGGGAAAAACUGAUUACAACCUGACAUGAUAAAAAGAUGUUUAAUAUCAUUGCAUUCUUUACUUUACUAAAGGAUGCAAUCCUAUAAGCCUUGAAAAUUACAUUUUGUACAAAAAGACCAAAAAUUUAAAAGAAAUUUUCUAAAUUAAAGCAAAUUAGAUAAACCAGAGAUGGGUAGCAGUCUCAGAGGAAGAGAGUGUCCUUUCUCUUUAUGGUUCCAGAACACAAGAUAAUGGAAAAAAGCUGGAGGAAGA